rnacentral:lncRNA from 1 species
AAUUAGGAUUAAAGGGGAGGAAGGUUAAGAAAUGAGAGGGUUUUUUUUUCAGAUCGGGGGUUUUUGGAUUGAAGAGCUAACUUCAAGCUCUUUUCAAGGUCACUAGUUUGGUUUCAUUAGGGUUUGUGAGGGGAGAGCAAUUGCUGCUCAAAGUCAGUGUUUGUUUUGGUGUUUCGGAUUUUAUAUAAAACAUUAAUGGUUUGCAUUCUCAAUUGGUUUGUGCAAGUCGUGUAGCAUCUAUGGAUC